GCCUACAAAUAUUUGGUAAACAAAGGUAAGGCAACACACUUGUUACUACUGUUCUUCUGAGCCGAUGGUCUAUCGGAAACAACCUCUCUGUCUUCUCAAGGUAGUGGUAAAGUUUGCAUACACACUCUCCUCGGCAAACCCUACUUGUGGAAUUACACUGGAUAUGUUGUUGUUGUAGUUUAAAGGUAAGACAACGGUUGCAAUAAGAUGGUUAACUAGAGGUGAAUCUAGCAUGGGUUCUGAACCUACUAUUGUUUGUGUCGAACAUAGAUUUAUAUGUGAAAAAUAACUAAAAUUUCAACAAAUAUUAGUUGUGAAUUUGAAGGAGAGUCUUGCUGUAACUGGUCAAGUUGCUGUCAUGUGACCAGGAGGUCACGGGUUCGAGCUGUUGAAAUAGCCUCUUGUAGAAAUACAGGGUAAGACUGCGUAGAAUAGACCCCUGUGGUACAGCUGUUCCCCAGACCCCGCGCAUAGUGGGAGCUUAGUACACCGGGUUUCCCUUUAUUAGUUAUGAAUUGAUAAUUCAAAAAGUACAAUAGGUCCUAUUAUAAGAACCUUAAAGUUUGAAACGUCAAGUUUAAAUUAUGAACCCCCCUACGUGGUUAACUAUAUAUGAGAGUGUAGAUGUCACCUUUGUUUUCUUUUUUUCUCCUCUAAGAACUACCACUGCAUAAGGAUUCGUGUGGUGCUUUCCUUCUACAUCUUCAGCACCAAUAACUGUAACUAACAGCAAACCUGCUCCGCGCAAGGAAUAGUUGUCAUCUGAAAGGCUUGAAAUACUCUCCUUUCGUUCGUGAAUAUGAAGAGGUCCACUAAACUUUUUGCUUUCCUUCUACAUCUUCGGCACCAAUAACUGUAACUAACAGCAAACCUGCUCCGCGCAAGGAAUAGUUGUCAUCUGAAAGGCUUGAAAUACUCUCCUUUCGUUCGUGAAUAUGAAGAGGUCCACUAAACUUUUUGCUAUCUUCUUGGAAGGGAAUGAAGGACAUUUCCAACAUAAUCUGGCCUCGAGCCUUCUUGUUCUGAGGGUCAUUUGGGUUUGUGCUGUGGACCAAAUCGAGCGUUAGUUCUUUCUUCUCAUAU
rnacentral:lncRNA from 1 species